GUGUCAGCCGCCGCGGUAAUACGGAGGGGGCUAGCGUUGUUCGGAAUUACUGGGCGUAAAGAGUUCGUAGGCGGACUGACAAGUUGGGGGUGAGAUCCCGGGGCUUAACCCCGGAACUGCCUUCAAAACUGUCAGUCUAGAGACCGGAAGAGGUAAGGGGAAUACCUAGUGUAGAGGUGAAAUUCGUAGAUAUUAGGUGGAACACCAGUGGCGAAGGCGCCUUACUGGUCCGGUACUGACGCUGAGGAACGAAAGCGUGGGGAGCAAACAGGAUUAGAUACCCUGGUAGUCCACGCCGUAAACGAUGAGUGCUAGAUGUCGGGAUUUUUGGAUUUCGGUGUCGCAGCUAACGCGUUAAGCACUCCGCCUGGGGAGUACGGUCGCAAGAUUAAAACUCAAAGGAAUUGACGGGG
rnacentral:rRNA from 1 species